CCUACGGGAGGCUGCAGUGAGGAAUAUUGGUCAAUGGACGAGAGUCUGAACCAGCCAAGUAGCGUGAAGGAUGACUGCCCUAUGGGUUGUAAACUUCUUUUAUAUGGGAAUAAAAUGUUCCACGUGCGGGUUUUUGUAUGUAUCAUAUCAAUAAUGGUCGGCUAAAACUGUGCACGCAGCCGCGGUAAUACGGAGGAGCCGAGCGUUAUCCGGAUGUAUUGGGAUUAACGGGAGCGUAGGGGGAUUGUUAAGUCAGUUGUGAAAGUUUGCGGCUCAACCGUAAAAUUGCAGUUGAAACUGGCAGUCUUGAGUACAGUAGAGGUGGGCGGAAUUCGUGGUGUAGCGGUGAAAUGCUUAGAUAUCACGAAGAACUCCGAUUGCGAAGGCAGCUCACUGGACUGCAACGGACACUGAGGCUCGAAAGUGUGGGUAUCAAACAGGAUUAGAUACCCUAGUAGUC
rnacentral:rRNA from 1 species